rnacentral:rRNA from 1 species
CCUACGGGUGGCUGCAGUGGGGAAUAUUGCACAAUGGGCGCAAGCCUGAUGCAGCCAUGCCGCGUGUGUGAAGAAGGCCUUCGGGUUGUAAAGCACUUUCAGCGGGGAGGAAGGCGGUGAGGUUAAUAACCUCAUCGAUUGACGUUACCCGCAGAAGAAGCACCGGCUAACUCCGUGCCAGCAGCCGCGGUAAUACGGAGGGUGCAAGCGUUAAUCGGAAUUACUGGGCGUAAAGCGCACGCAGGCGGUCUGUCAAGUCGGAUGUGAAAUCCCCGGGCUCAACCUGGGAACUGCAUUCGAAACUGGCAGGCUAGAGUCUUGUAGAGGGGGGUAGAAUUCCAGGGGUAGCGGUGAAAUGCGUAGAGAUCUGGAGGAAUACCGGUGGCGAAGGCGGCCCCCUGGACAAAGACUGACGCUCAGGUGCGAAAGCGUGGGGAGCAAACAGGAUGAGAUACCCCUGUAGUC